AGAGUUUGAUCCUGGCUCAGGACGAACGCUGGCGGCGUGCCUAAUACAUGCAAGUCGAGCGAGCUUGCCUAGAUGAUUUUAGUGCUUGCACUAAAUGAAACUAGAUACAAGCGAGCGGCGGACGGGUGAGUAACACGUGGGUAACCUGCCCAAGAGACUGGGAUAACACCUGGAAACAGAUGCUAAUACCGGAUAACAACACUAGACGCAUGUCUAGAGUUUGAAAGAUGGUUCUGCUAUCACUCUUGGAUGGACCUGCGGUGCAUUAGCUAGUUGGUAAGGUAACGGCUUACCAAGGCAAUGAUGCAUAGCCGAGUUGAGAGACUGAUCGGCCACAUUGGGACUGAGACACGGCCCAAACUCCUACGGGAGGCAGCAGUAGGGAAUCUUCCACAAUGGACGAAAGUCUGAUGGAGCAACGCCGCGUGAGUGAAGAAGGGUUUCGGCUCGUAAAGCUCUGUUGGUAGUGAAGAAAGAUAGAGGUAGUAACUGGCCUUUAUUUGACGGUAAUUACUUAGAAAGUCACGGCUAACUACGUGCCAGCAGCCGCGGUAAUACGUAGGUGGCAAGCGUUGUCCGGAUUUAUUGGGCGUAAAGCGAGUGCAGGCGGUUCAAUAAGUCUGAUGUGAAAGCCUUCGGCUCAACCGGAGAAUUGCAUCAGAAACUGUUGAACUUGAGUGCAGAAGAGGAGAGUGGAACUCCAUGUGUAGCGGUGGAAUGCGUAGAUAUAUGGAAGAACACCAGUGGCGAAGGCGGCUCUCUGGUCUGCAACUGACGCUGAGGCUCGAAAGCAUGGGUAGCGAACAGGAUUAGAUACCCUGGUAGUCCAUGCCGUAAACGAUG
rnacentral:rRNA from 1 species